rnacentral:lncRNA from 12 species
CCGGGGCAGGUGGCCCUGCGGGCGUCGGGGAAGCGGGGCUCCUCCGCUCCAGAGCCGGGGGGAGGAGACAGAGCCUGCGGGGGGAGGACAGGACAGGCCCCUCAGGGUGGAGCUGACCGCGCCCCUGUCCUCGCAGGGCUCAGGAAAGUGCGGGGGCGCAGCAUCACUCCGCGGCUGGGCAGCCACCGAGGGACACGUU